AGGUUUAUAGCUCAGUUGGUAGAGCGUCUGCCUUACAAGCAGAAUGUCAUCGGUUCAAAUCCGGUUAAACCUA
rnacentral:tRNA from 2 species